GAUGAACGCUGGCGGCGUGCCUAAUACAUGCAAGUCGAGCGAACGGACGAGAAGCUUGCUUCUCUGAUGUUAGCGGCGGACGGGUGAGUAACACGUGGAUAACCUACCUAUAAGACUGGGAUAACUUCGGGAAACCGGAGCUAAUACCGGAUAACAUUUUGAACCGCAUGGUUCAAAAGCGAAAGACGGUCUUGCUGUCACUUAUAGAUGGAUCCGCGCUGCAUUAGCUAGUUGGUAAGGUAACGGCUUACCAAGGCAACGAUGCAUAGCCGACCUGAGAGGGUGAUCGGCCACACUGGAACUGAGACACGGUCCAGACUCCUACGGGAGGCAGCAGUAGGGAAUCUUCCGCAAUGGGCGAAAGCCUGACGGAGCAACGCCGCGUGAGUGAUGAAGGUCUUCGGAUCGUAAAACUCUGUUAUUAGGGAAGAACAUAUGUGUAAGUAACUGUGCACAUCUUGACGGUACCUAAUCAGAAAGCCACGGCUAACUACGUG
rnacentral:rRNA from 1 species